AUGAAAGCCGGGGGUGCCUAAAGCAUGUAACCGCAAGGAGCGUGUCAGGGCAAUACUGGUAAUUGGGGCUAAGUCGUAACAAGGUAGCCGUACCGGAAGGUGCGGCUGGAAUACCUCCUUUCUGGAGC
rnacentral:rRNA from 1 species